GUGCAGCCGCCGCGGUCAUACCGGCAGCCCGAGUGAUGGCCGCUAUUCUUGGGCCUAAAGCGGCCGUAGCUGGCCGAACAAGUCCGUCGGGAAAUCCACGUGCUUAACACGUGGGCGACCGGCGGAAACUGUUCGGCUUGGGGCCGGAGGACCCGAGGGGUACGUCCGGGGUAGGAGUGAAAUCCUGUAAUCCUGGACGGACCGCCGGUGGCGAAAGCGCCUCGGGAAGACGGACCCGACAGUGAGGGACGAAAGCUGGGAUCUCGAACCGGAUUAGAAACCCGAGUAGUCC
rnacentral:rRNA from 1 species